GAAAACUUGCAACUGUCCGUCUGGCAUCUGUGACAGAGUCACUGGGAAGUGUUUGAAGUUCCCAUUUUUUCAACUGUCUGCUUCAAAACCUCCGAAUCGACGAAAAAUAAUUUCUCACACAGAUAACGACAUGGCAUCGGGGGAUGGCAACUCUGUAAAAGAGGAAUUUGUUAAGGAGAAAGCAAUUCGCACCCCAGUGAUGAAGUGGCUAAAUCCUCGCUGAUAUUUACUUGUGCUAAUAAGACUUUCAAAAGAACACAUUUCUCACAGAUUAUUGAAUAUGCAACAACACACUUUAAGAACAACGUAAAUCUAUAGCAUAUGAAAAUGUAACC
rnacentral:lncRNA from 1 species